rnacentral:lncRNA from 1 species
GGGAUUAAUCUCGCAAAUUGGGGCAAAAUUUGGCUCUAAGAUUUUCAUUCCUCCCACGUAAAGCAUUGCUAAGGAAGAGAGGAACCCAAAUCGGUAGAAAAGAAACCCAUCUAUCUAAUUGAAACGUCGAAUUUUUUUCCAAGGAAGAGAGGUGAAAUCCAAUUGAUCUGUGCUUUCCAAACCACAAAAGUAUGCACACACCGGAGUACUCUGUUCCGCACGCACAACUGAGGAAUACUGAUCUGUUCCUAAAAAAAG